UACGUAGGGGGCUAGCGUUGUUCGGAAUUACUGGGCGUAAAGCGCGCGCAGGCGGUCUUCCAAGUCAGUUGUGAAAGCCCGGAGCUCAACUCCGGAAUUGCCAUUGAAACUGUUAGACUUGAGGAUGAGAGAGGUGAGUGGAAUUCCCAGUGUAGAGGUGAAAUUCGUAGAUAUUGGGAAGAACACCGGUGGCGAAGGCGGCUCACUGGCUCAUUACUGACGCUCAGGCGCGAUAGCGUGGGGAUCAAACAGG
rnacentral:rRNA from 1 species